AGUGAAUAGAUACCCUGGUAGUCCCAGCCGUAAACGAUGCUCGCUAGGUGUCAGGCAUGGCGCGACCGUGUCUGGUGCCGCAGGGAAGCCGUGAAGCGAGCCACCUGGGAAGUACGGCCGCAAGGCUGAAACUUAAAGGAAUUGGCGGGGGAGCACAACAACGGGUGGAGCCUGCGGUUUAAUUGGACUCAACGCCGGACAACUCACCGGGGGCGGACAGCAAUAUGUAGGCCAAGCUGAAGACUUUGCCUGAAUCGCUGAGAGGAGGUGCAUGGCCGUCGCCAGUUCGUACUGUGAAGCAUCCUGUUAAGUCAGGCAACGAGCGAGACCCGUGCCCACUGUUACCAGCAUGUCCUCCGGGACGAUGGGUACUCUGUGAGGACCGCCUAUGUUAAAUAGGAGGAAGGUGCGGGCCACGGUAGGUCAGUAUGCCCCGAAUCUCCCGGGCUACACGCGGGCUACAAUGGAUGGGACAAUGGUCCCUACUCCGAAAGGAGCUGGUAAUCUCACAAACCCAUUCGUAGUUCGGAUCGA
rnacentral:rRNA from 1 species